GGGCAUAUUAUGAUAAAUAUAAUAUCUAGUAUGAGUCUGGUUUGCUUCCUUUAGAUUAGCGGACUAAAUCGCUAGUAAUCACGGAUCAGCAUGCCGCGGUGAAUAUGUACCCGGGCCCUGUACACACUGCCCGUCACACCCUGGGAAUUGGUUUCGCCUGAAGCAUCGGACCAAUGAUCACCCAUGACUUCUGUGUACCACUAGUGCCACAAAGGCUUUUGGUGGUCUUAUUGGCGCAUACCACGGUGGGGUCUUCGACUGGGGUGAAUUCGUAACAAGGUAGCCGUAGGGGAACCUGUGGCUG
rnacentral:ncRNA from 1 species